rnacentral:lncRNA from 1 species
GUUUCAUAUAGUGAUAUAUAUUACAUCAGUUGCGCAUAUCUUGCUUUUACAGACUGAUUAAAUAGCCGUUUUGAUUGUUAAACGUUUUUGAAAUUUUUGAACAUCGCAAGUGGUUUUAAAUACUCAGACUCUAGUUCUUCAGAAUCCUAUUAGGAUAGUGAAAUGCAAAAAUAAUUGAAGUAGUUUAACAUCAUGAGGUGUUUUUACAUGGUAAAUGGGGGAGGAAAAAGACUGAAAAUAUUCAACACUGGUUUAAAAUUAACAUCAUAGAUACUACAAGUUUUAGACUUAGAAGAAAAAGCAAAUAUCCCACGGGGAGAGAUCAGAUAACUUGUGGUUUAAAAUUUAAAGUAACCAGUGGCCAUUUUAACUUCACCAGUUUUUCUUGGAGGAGUUAAUUUUUAAUUGCUCAUAACUGUAAAAGAUUUCUACAUAGUCAAGGACAUUUUGGGAUGAUUACAGGCUUUAAAUGGUAAACUUUUCUUUGUUUUUGUUUGUUGCCUGGCAUCAAAACAGGAAAAAUAAAGGCAAGGUCAUGAUUUUAAAUCUGUCCAAACACCUGAAUUUUCCGUAUUUCUUUUAAAUCCUAAUGCAGUAAUCUCCAGUAUUUGCUAACACAUCCAAGAGAUAAAGAAAACAAAGAUUGAUAAAAUAAUAAAAAAAAAUUGUAGCCAUAAACGUACAGGUUGUGUGACUGUGAGCCUUCUCUGAAGUUUACCCAUAGAUGUAGUCUUUGGAAUAUUUUUUCAUUAUUUCAUCACACAAUCUUUGGCCAACAAAUACUUAAAAAUCAAAACAUUGAUGUCAUCUUUUUUUUUUUUUAAAGGUAACUUGCAAGAUUAAAAUUAAUUUGCUGGUGGUUCUGAACAAAUAUGUACGGCUGUUUUAUCCCAGGUCCAUUAUUUUGAAGACUGAGUUUUAUUCCUGAGGAUAAAGAAAGUGCUUGGAAAAGUCUGUUUUAUAUCGCAAAAGUGCGAAUCCCCAGACUGAUAGUAUGAAGGGCCUGUACAGUAUAGCAGACUUGGAAACACACCCAGUCAUCUUGAAGAGUCUCAAAAGGACCCUACCACUGAGAAAUCAAGAUGGCAGUCCACUAUGGGGAAUUGAGGAAAAUGGAUUAAUACAAGAGUGCUGUGAUAAAAUACCAUCAAGACAGGGUUGUUUUAACAUGGAUUCAGUGAAAUGAAUGAAACCUAUUUUAACCAACAAAUGGACAGUGGAUUUGACUUUCUAAAGACUUUUCUAAUAAUUUAAACCAGUUCAUUUUUGACAUUUGGAGAAGAUGGCACAUUAACACAGAUGGUAGUGUGUAUGCCUGAAAUAUUUUUUUUUGUACAUUUUGAUUUGUUUGAAUAUGACCUCAUGGAAUGUUAACGUUAAUAAAAUUUCUAACAUUUAAAAAAAUUUCAGUUUGGGCCUUUUUUUUUUCAAGUGGAAGUUUCAUUAAAUAUUCAAUUACCUCCAUAAUUGUUUGAUUCUUGCAGUUGUCCAAGCAGUAUACCCA